GCACUGCUGAGGAGUCCCACAAUAGGUCAAAACGGCCGUCCAGUGC
rnacentral:hammerhead_ribozyme from 1 species